UUUGGAGUUGCUUGUUACGGCGUUUCGGAUCUAAUUAAGUUUUGAUCUUUUGAGAGAUUUUCUUGUACUCCGUCUUUUCGACAUUAAUAAAUUAUUUGCUCCGUUUUCGCCCGUGGACGUAGGCCGUUGGCCGAACCACGUAAAUAUCGGUGUGUUCUUUCCUUAUCUUUUCUUUUCUUGCAUUAAAUUAUUUUCUGGAUCUAUUUUUUCGCCGUUCCGAUUUUAACAGUCUAAUUGAAUGAAGCGGGUAGCGUGCUACCUUUUUCUAAAAAAGAAACAAAUUCUUGUUUUCUUCGUGUGCGUUCAUUGUAAUAGAAGAAUGAUCUCUUAGGAGG
rnacentral:lncRNA from 1 species